rnacentral:rRNA from 1 species
GCAGUCGAGCGAGACCUUCGGGUCUAGCGGCGGACGGGUGAGUAACGCGUGGAGACGUGCCCUUUGCUACGGAAUAGUCCCGGGAAACUGGGUUUAAUACCGUAUGUGCCCUUCGGGGGAAAGAUUUAUCGGCAAAGGAUCGGCCCGCGUUGGAUUAGGUAGUUGGUGGGGUAAUGGCCUACCAAGCCGACGAUCCAUAGCUGGUUUGAGAGGAUGAUCAGCCACACUGGGACUGAGACACGGCCCAGACUCCUACGGGAGGCAGCAGUGGGGAAUCUUAGACAAUGGGGGCAACCCUGAUCUAGCCGUGCCGCGUGAGUGAUGAAGGCCUUAGGGUUGUAAAGCUCUUUCAGCUGGGAAGAUAAUGACGGUACCAGCAGAAGAAGCCCCGGCUAACUCCGUGCCAGCAGCCGCGGUAAUACGGAGGGGGCUAGCGUUGUUCGGAAUUACUGGGCGUAAAGCGCACGUAGGCGGACUGGAAAGUUGGGGGUGAAAUCCCGG